rnacentral:rRNA from 1 species
AGAGUUUGAUCCUGGCUCAGGACGAACGCUGGCGGCGCGCCUAAUACAUGCAAGUCGAGCGUGAACUCGGGCUUCGGCCCGGGGGAAAGCGGCGAACGGGUGCGUAACACGUGAGCAACCUGCCCCGAAGACCGGGACAAGCCGGGGAAACCUGGUCUAAUACCGGAUGCCCUCUUCCGACCGCAUGAUUGGACGAGGAAAUGGAUUCCGCUUCGGGAUGGGCUCGCGGCCUAUCAGCUUGUUGGUGGGGUAACGGCCUACCAAGGCGACGACGGGUAGCUGGUCUGAGAGGACGAUCAGCCACACUGGGACUGAGACACGGCCCAGACUCCUACGGGAGGCAGCAGUAGGGAAUCUUGCUCAAUGGGCGAAAGCCUGAAGCAGCGACGCCGCGUGCGGGAUGAAGGCCUUCGGGUUGUAAACCGCUUUCAGCAGGGACGAAAUUGACGGUACCUGCAGAAGAAGGCCCGGCCAACUACGUGCCAGCAGCCGCGGUAAUACGUAGGGGCCUAGCGUUGUCCGGAUUUAUUGGGCGUAAAGAGCUCGUAGGCGGUUUGGUUAGUCAGGUGUGAAAUCUCCACGCUCAACGUGGAGGAGCCACCUGAUACUGCCAUGACUUGAGUCCGGUAGGGGAGUGUGGAAUUCCCGGUGUAGCGGUGAAAUGCGCAGAUAUCGGGAGGAACACCCGUAGCGAAGGCGGCACUCUGGGCCGGUACUGACGCUGAGGAGCGAAAGCGUGGGGAGCAAACAGGAUUAGAUACCCUAGUAGUCC